rnacentral:lncRNA from 1 species
AUGCUGCACAAGCUGGUCUCAUUAGGAGUGUUGUUUGCAUCCUUCCCUUGGAAAGGGGACACAGCACUGCACCCUGUGGCUAAGACUGACACAGGGCAGCUGAAGAACCAGAGAACUGGAGAAUGGUUUGAGAAAGUGUCCUCCUCAUUGCAGUCGAUACCUUCUAGUUCACGUGUUGAAAGGACAGAACCCUGUAGACAGAAGACGGAUUGGCUCACACUGGAUAAAUGAGUACAUGGUAGUAGCUCAUGCUGGUUAAUAGCAAUGAAGGGGCUCGGUACUUAUUAAACUAAACUGGUUCUUUGCUAACAUAACUACUUAAAGGUGAUGUAGCUGUACCUAGUAAUAUAGUUUGAUUUCUCAGUGCCUCCUUCAAACUGCAGCUUGGAGCAAUUUCUUCCCUCUAACAGAAACUUUACUGUUGCUUGGCUUAUGUGUGUUUGCUGCCUUGCUGCUUACUGCUACUUGGCCUACCACAGGUGGAUGGUAUUUACCAAACUGUUAAAGUUCAAAGGCUCUGUUUAGGUGGAGGGGCAAAUAUGGUCUGUGUUAAGCCUUGAGAUGAGGUUUACUAAUUUUAGUUCCUUUGGGAAUCAUGUUGACAGGCAGAUGGUGUGUGCUUGACUGUCACCUUGAAAUUGAUCCUGGACGCAACCAAGCUGGGAUACAUCUGCAACUGGGAAAUGGUGAGUGAUGCCAUGUCCUAUACUCUAGGCAUGGUCUUAGACCUUCAGUGACGUCAGAUGCUAGCAUCUGGCUUGUGAUACUGUUUUGUGCCUAUAACAACUGUUUGCCUUUGCCUUGCUUAGCAGUUCUGUGUUAGUCCUCUGUCCUGCUCAUCACUAUAAUUCUUUUGCUUUGCUGAUUCAGGCCACCUGAUAAAGAGGAAUUUUUUGACCGCAACCUUGUAAGUGUAGGAGUGUCAGUUACUCUUCAUGCAUUCAAUUUCAUCUCUAUGGAUGCUAUGGGCACCUACUACAAGGACUGCAGGAUUUGGUGAGUAGCAGUUUUACAUGCAAUUCAUCCUUUGCAAACUUGCAAACAUUCCCUUUCAGCCCUCUUCUCUCCAAAAUAAGGAGACAGUCUUUUUAGUCUCCCAGAAGCCAACUCUUUCAUAUAUUCCUCCACUUUAGUGGCUCUUUGUAUGGUAUUGAACUCCACUAUGUCCUUGAGAUACAGGUACUCAAAACAGUUAAAGGGCAAUUGCAGUGAUGUUUCUUGUUGUUGUAUU